CUCCCUGAUGUUAGCGGCGGACGGGUGAGUAACACGUGGGUAACCUGCCUGUAAGACUGGGAUAACUCCGGGAAACCGGGGCUAAUACCGGAUGGUUGUCUGAACCGCAUGGUUCAGACAUAAAAGGUGGCUUCGGCUACCACUUACAGAUGGACCCGCGGCGCAUUAGCUAGUUGGUGAGGUAACGGCUCACCAAGGCGACGAUGCGUAGCCGACCUGAGAGGGUGAUCGGCCACACUGGGACUGAGACACGGCCCAGACUCCUACGGGAGGCAGCAGUAGGGAAUCUUCCGCAAUGGACGAAAGUCUGACGGAGCAACGCCGCGUGAGUGAUGAAGGUUUUCGGAUCGUAAAGCUCUGUUGUUAGGGAAGAACAAGUGCCGUUCAAAUAGGGCGGCACCUUGACGGUACCUAACCAGAAAGCCACGGCUAACUACGUGCCAGCAGCCGCGGUAAUACGUAGGUGGCAAGCGUUGUCCGGAAUUAUUGGGCGUAAAGGGCUCGCAGGCGGUUUCUUAAGUCUGAUGUGAAAGCCCCCGGCUCAACCGGGG
rnacentral:rRNA from 2 species